UACGUAGGGUGCGAGCGUUAAUCGGAAUUACUGGGCGUAAAGGGUGCGCAGGCGGUUAUAUAAGACAGAUGUGAAAUCCCCGGGCUCAACCUGGGAACUGCGUUUGUGACUGUAUGACUAGAGUACGGUAGAGAGGGGUGGGAAUUCCUGGUGUAGCAGUGAAAUGCGUAGAUAUCAGGAGGAACAUCGAUGGCGAAGGCAGCCCCUUGGACCUGUACUGACGCUCAUGACACGAAAGCGUGGGGGAGCGAACAG
rnacentral:rRNA from 1 species